rnacentral:rRNA from 1 species
GGUAGCGUAAUCAUUUGUCUUUUAAAUAGAGACCUGUAUGAAUGGCAUAACGAGGGUUUAACUGUCUCCCUCCCCUAGUCAAUGAAAUUGAUCUGCCCGUGCAGAAGCGGACAUAAAUACAUAAGACGAGAAGACCCUAUGGAGCUUUAGACAAAAGAUCAAACAUGUAAAGAAACCAAAUCAACCAAAAGGAACACAAAGGCCACAAAACCCAACGUAAAAUGAUCCAAAUGUCUUCGGUUGGGGCGACCAUGGGGGAAAGAAAAACCCCCACGAGGAACUAGGGGCAAUCCAUUAAGCCAAGAGAUACACCUCUAAGCAACAGAAAAUCUGACCAAAAAUGACCCAGGACACUAAUCCUGAUCAACGAACCAAGUUACCCUAGGGAUAACAGCGCAAUCCUUUCCCAGAGUCCAUAUCGACGAAAGGGUUUACGACCUCGAUGUUGGAUCAGGACAUCCUAAUGGUGCAGCCGCUAUUAAGGGUUCGUUUGUUCAACGAUUAA